rnacentral:lncRNA from 1 species
ACCACCAAUACUGGUGUCACGAGCUCAACCCCCAGGAUACAUUUGGCAGAAGGAGAGAACUGAUUCUCACAAAUGACCCUUUGACCUCCACCUGCACGCCUUACCAGAUGCAUACACAAAAUCAUUACCCAUAAGUUGUUGUCACUCCAAGGCUUUGCCUUUACCCCCAGCAAUUGUCUCCUUGUGACCCUACUCCAUGUUUCUUCCCUUCAGGGUUCAUGUGUACACCAGUAGCAUCUCAUUGGGAAAAAAUAAUUUUCUUUUGAGACAGAUUCUUGCUAUGUAGCUCUGAAUGUCCUGGAACUCAUUAUGUAGACUGUGCUGGACUUAAACUCAUAGAGAUUUUCCUGCCUCUGUUCCC